GUGGGGAAUAUUGGACAAUGGGGGAAACCCUGAUCCAGCAAUGCCGCGUGGGUGAUGAAGGCCUUCGGGUUGUAAAGCCCUUUCGGCGGGGACGAUGAUGACGGUACCCGCAGAAGAAGCCCCGGCUAACUUCGUGCCAGCAGCCGCGGUAAUACGAAGGGGGCUAGCGUUGUUCGGAAUUACUGGGCGUAAAGGGCGCGUAGGCGGCUCUGUGCGUCGUGCGUGAAAGGCCUGGGCUCAACCCAGGAAUGGCGCUCGAUACGACGGAGCUAGAGUGCAGGAGAGGAUGGUGGAAUUCCCAGUGUAGAGGUGAAAUUCGUAGAUAUUGGGAAGAACACCGGUGGCGAAGGCGGCCAUCUGGACUGCAACUGACGCUGAGGCGCGAAAGCGUGGGGAGCAAACAGGAUUAGAUACCCUGGUAGUCC
rnacentral:rRNA from 1 species